UCUUGAGCGGCGUAUAACAUCAUGGAAGAGCCCAGACGACCCGUCUCCUGGAAACUUUAUUUGGGCAGUUGAACGACAAGAUAAUCCUGAGUUAAUCAUGUGGAAGGGAUCAAGAAAGUUUCAUAGGAGUGGCCCAUGGAAUGGCCUUCAAUUCAGUGCUUCACCAUUGAGGCCAAACCCCAUUUUUAACUUCAGCAUAGUCUCUAAUGAGGAUGAGCUCUGCUAUACCUUCGAUAUGAGAGAUAAAGCUGCUUUCUCAAGGAUUGUUGUGAACCAAACACUCUAUUUACUUCAACGAUUCAUAUGGAAUAAAGCAACUCAAAGUUGGGAAUUGUAUUUGUUGAUGCGAGAUUCUGGUUACGCCUUCCAACGAUCAGGAUGUCUGCUCGAUCAACCUCACCUCGAUCAGGAUCUCUCCUCGUACGCUUUUUUCCCUAAGUAUCCCUGCGUCCACAGAAACAAGUCAGAGCACGCCGGUUGUUUUCCCGGCGUAAACCCUCCGACGCUCAAGUCAGAUAUGAAGGCUCUGGGAACGCUUGCCACAAAUCUUAUGGCUUUUAGGUCGUUUUUUUCUCUUUUAGAAUUUCCUUUCUCUCUGUUAUAAUCUCCAAAUUGCUAACCCUUUUACCUUCGUUGGCUACCUUUUUAUAGGCCACUUCUGAACUCAGGCCUUUCCUCCCUUUGCGCUCGCCAUCCUCCCACUUCUCGAAAGUGGAUGCUCCAUUGCCGUAGUCAUGGGUGGUUGCGUGGCCCUCGCGCCUUGAUUCUCGGACUAGAGAGCAUGUCUCGCCAACUGUCGUUUACCGGGUCUCCUCGACCCAACCGUUAGUAGGAAUAUAGCAGGAACGGCUUUAUGCUCCCAACAGGAGACUGACCUCGUGGAUGCCGUACUCAUGGACGAGCAGGAUACUCCUGCUCCUGCUCCCCCGGCUACCAGACUCUUGCAAGAUAUACCUAUUCGAGGAACCCUGCUACCAGGCGCCUGCUCAUCACUGCUGGUCAUCGUUGAAACAUAUCCCCCAAACACCAGUCCCCCAGUUUCUUGUGUUGGGUAGCGUAGUGAGCCAACAGUAGAAACUCGACAGUUCUUGCUCGCGCAGGAUAGGAAAAGGCUACCAAGAGUCGUGUCGCAUUUAAUUGCGGAUGAGGUGAUGUGGCGGAGAUCCACCCCUCCAUUUGAAUUUCAAACCGACGGUUACGAGACCCUCGGGAUUCGGUGCUGUUAAAUGCUGGCUAUCCAAGAGUUUUUCUUCCAAUAAGAUAACCCAAAACCUCUUGAAGGGAAAUUAGCCAUUUCCACCGUCUCUGUCCUUGUCUCUCCGGCGAAGAAGUUUCGGCAUAAAAGCCCCCAUCCUUGCCUUUCUCCGACUGAAACAGUACUUCAGGUAUUACUUCUUUCUCCUCGGUCUCGGAUAGUUUGUAGAUAACUUCUUUUGGUCUAGUGUUGGUACUAGCGCUAGGAGGAUGUCUCCCCAAACAACCUCCUCGAGCGACAGUAGCGAUGAAGAAGGAUCUUCUGGAUCGGAGAACACCUUGAGUGAGGGUCAAGGGGAUGAUUCUGGUGAGGCGUCCCCAUCAGGAGCAUCACGACCAGAAGAACGGGGUACAGUAGGAGGUAGAGCCUUGUCGCGUGAUUAUGCCAUUGAUUACAUGUCGUGUACGACCACGUUUGACGAGCUCAAUGACCUCCGACUUAGGUAUAGUAUUCCUGGUGAGAUACCUCUUAAGAUCCCAGGAAAGAAGGAUACACCUAGCCGGCCUCCUAGGGGAUACGUUACCCUGUUUCUGGAAAGCUUUAAGUUUGGGCUAAGGUGUCCCUUACAACCCUACUUUGCCCGUAUACUUAACGGGCUGAAUCUGGCUCCUGGUCAGCUGAACCCCAAUGGGUGGAGAGUGCUCUCUGGUCUGUUCAUAUUGUGGGACAGAUGUUGCCAAAGCGAGCCCAUGGUUAAUGAGGUGAAGCACCUAUACCAGCUAAAGAGCAGCCCUAAAGAUGCCGGCUGGUACUACUUCCAAUCUAGUACCAAGAGCAGGAAACCCAUAACUGAUCUUCCAACUGGUGGUGGUGGGACUUGGAAGAGGAAAUUCUUUUUUGCUGGGGGUCCUUGGGGUCAAGUUGCACAAAUUGACGGGAACGAUUAUCGCGUCCCACCCCGUUUCGUGGUCCCAAGUUGCCUGCUCGCUUUAGAUGCCUCGUAUCCAUAAUUGUUCUCGCUUUAUUGGUUUGUUCUUAACCAAGUGUCUGUUUGCGUUGCAGGUUCUUGGGGUGUUCACUUCCCGCUUAAACCUGACCAGCUCAAACGGGUCGAGGCCGUAUUGGUUAAUUCCUGCCCGAGUCGAGAGCUGAUAACCACCUACAACCUGCUCGAGUCUCGUUUGGUGCCCCCCGGCCAUAAGAUGGAGGACGCAGUGAUUGGAGCUCUGACCGGGAAACGUUCUCGGCCUCCAACAACCAAACGGGACCAGAACAAAGAUGCUCCUGCUACGAAGCGAAAGAACAUCGUGCAGCAGGUUCCUCCCUUGCAGACUCUUCCUCCUGCUCCUGCCAAGGUCGAGGAAACUAGUGGAGCAGCCACAGAUCCUGCUUCUUCUUCUCCUCCUGUCGGGCCUCGGUCUCGCUUACCUGACAGCCGAGCAGAACACUUGGUCCCCUAUCUCAAUGAGUUAUCUAAACUCGUGAGCAAGAAGGACUUGGAGGACUUUGACGGCUGCACCUUGGGUGAACUGGUGGGAGCCAUGCAGUAUAGCGCUUUCCACCUCAGCUGCAUGAUCACCUAUUACAAGGCUAAGGUUGGCCGCUACAAUCGGCAGAUGAAGGAGGACAUUCAGUCAGCGACUACCAGAGCUGACGUUGCCGAGAAGAGAGCAGGGGAGCUGAAUGUUGAGAACCUUAAGCUGAUGGAGCAAGAAUCUCUUGCUCAAGCAAAAGCCAUUACCCUGGAGGAGGAGCUGACCAAGGUCAAGGAGGAUCUGCUAAGGCAGAAGGCUAUGUAUGAGGCUCAGCUCGAAUCUCUACGUGAUUCCCACCGGGCUCAGGUUGAGAACUUGGAGAGGGAGGCCGACAACCAGUACGACUAGGGACUUCGGCAUUCCUAUUGUUGCAUCAUGGCCGUCCUCGGGAAGCAGCAUCCUGAUCUGAAGAUGGAUGACCUUGUAGCUGGUGUUGCUCAACAUAUGGACGAGGAGGCGGCCAAGAAAGAUGCCGAAGGGAUAGAGCCGAUCGUGAUUAAGGAGGAAAAUUCUCCUCCUCGUGCGGUCCCUGCUGACGUUGGCGAGGCGAGCACCCGUGCUGCCGUUGCCGAGGCGAGCACCCCCCCGGACGCAACUGGUGAUACUCCCCCUGCACCUGAGGAGGUCCAGCCAACCGAUGCUGCUCGGCUUACUGAUCCGCCAUCUUCUUGAUAUAUUUCUUGUAUUGUAAUGAACAACGUUUAUGAAAUUUAUCUCCUCUGUUAAUUAUUAACACAUUAAUAAAAAUGUUUUUGAUUACUUUCUUGUGUUGUAAUCAUGAGUUAUUUUUCGUUUAAGAAUCUGCUCACCUUCGUCUGGUUGAGCAGGUUCUGGCUUGGCAUAUGGUUUUGCCACAUGCCUUAGAAAAUUUUUCAAUGCUUGGGCUUCUGCUCGCCUUCACGCGGUCGAGCAGAUCCUGACAUACUUGGCUUCUGUCUCGCCAUAAACAGGCUUUGAGACUUGGUGAGCCUUUGCAUGCCUUAGAGAUUUUUUCGAUGCUUGGGGAUUCUGCUCGCCUUCGCGUGGUCGAGCGGAUCCUGGCACACUUGGCUUCUGUCUCGCCAUAAACAGGCUUUGAGACUUGGUGAGCCUUUGCAUGCCUUAGAGAUUUUUUCGAUGCUUGGGGAUUCUGCUCGCCUUCGCGUGGUCGAGCGGAUCCUGGCACACUUGGCUUCUGUCUCGCCAUAAACAGGCUUUGAGACUUGGUGAGCCUUUGCAUGCCUUAGAGAUUUUUUCGAUGCUUGGGGAUUCUGCUCGCCUUCGCGUGGUCGAGCGGAUCCUGGCACACUUGGCUUCUGUCUCGCCAUAAACAGGCUUUGAGACUUGGUGAGCCUUUGUAUGCCUCAGAAAUUUUUUCGAUGCUUGGGGAUUCUUCUCGCCUUCGUGUGGUCGAGUAGAUCCUGGCACGCUUGGCUUCUGUCUCGCCAUAAACAGGCUUUGAGACUUGGUGAGCCUUUGCAUGCCUUAGAGAUUUUUUCGAUGCUUGGGGAUUCUGCUCGCCUUCGCGUGGUCGAGCGGAUCCUGGCACACUUGGCUUCUGUCUCGCCAUAAACAGGCUUUGAGACUUGGUGAGCCUUUGCAUGCCUUAGAGAUUUUUUCGAUGCUUGGGGAUUCUGCUCGCCUUCGCGUGGUCGAGCGGAUCCUGGCACACUUGGCUUCUGUCUCGCCAUAAACAGGCUUUGAGACUUGGUGAGCCUUUGCAUGCCUUAGAGAUUUUUUCGAUGCUUGGGGAUUCUGCUCGCCUUCGCGUGGUCGAGCGGAUCCUGGCACACUUGGCUUCUGUCUCGCCAUAAACAGGCUUUGAGACUUGGUGAGCCUUUGCAUGCCUUAGAGAUUUUUUCGAUGCUUGGGGAUUCUGCUCGCCUUCGCGUGGUCGAGCGGAUCCUGGCACACUUGGCUUCUGUCUCGCCAUAAACAGGCUUUGAGACUUGGUGAGCCUUUGUAUGCCUCAGAAAUUUUUUCGAUGCUUGGGGAUUCUUCUCGCCUUCGUGUGGUCGAGUAGAUCCUGGCACGCUUGGCUUCUGUCUCGCCAUAAACAGGCUUUGAGACUUGGUGAGCCUUUGCAUGCCUUAGAGAUUUUUUCGAUGCUUGGGGAUUCUGCUCGCCUUCGCGUGGUCGAGCGGAUCCUGGCACACUUGGCUUCUGUCUCGCCAUAAACAGGCUUUGAGACUUGGUGAGCCUUUGCAUGCCUUAGAGAUUUUUUCGAUGCUUGGGGAUUCUGCUCGCCUUCGCGUGGUCGAGCGGAUCCUGGCACACUUGGCUUCUGUCUCGCCAUAAACAGGCUUUGAGACUUGGUGAGCCUUUGCAUGCCUUAGAGAUUUUUUCGAUGCUUGGGGAUUCUGCUCGCCUUCGCGUGGUCGAGCGGAUCCUGGCACACUUGGCUUCUGUCUCGCCAUAAACAGGCUUUGAGACUUGGUGAGCCUUUGCAUGCCUUAGAGAUUUUUUCGAUGCUUGGGGAUUCUGCUCGCCUUCGCGUGGUCGAGCGGAUCCUGGCACACUUGGCUUCUGUCUCGCCAUAAACAGGCUUUGAGACUUGGUGAGCCUUUGUAUGCCUCAGAAAUUUUUUCGAUGCUUGGGGAUUCUUCUCGCCUUCGUGUGGUCGAGUAGAUCCUGGCACGCUUGGCUUCUGUCUCGCCAUAAACAGGCUUUGAGACUUGGUGAGCCUUUGCAUGCCUUAGAGAUUUUUUCGAUGCUUGGGGAUUCUGCUCGCCUUCGCGUGGUCGAGCGGAUCCUGGCACACUUGGCUUCUGUCUCGCCAUAAACAGGCUUUGAGACUUGGUGAGCCUUUGCAUGCCUUAGAGAUUUUUUCGAUGCUUGGGGAUUCUGCUCGCCUUCGCGUGGUCGAGCGGAUCCUGGCACACUUGGCUUCUGUCUCGCCAUAAACAGGCUUUGAGACUUGGUGAGCCUUUGCAUGCCUUAGAGAUUUUUUCGAUGCUUGGGGAUUCUGCUCGCCUUCGCGUGGUCGAGCGGAUCCUGGCACACUUGGCUUCUGUCUCGCCAUAAACAGGCUUUGAGACUUGGUGAGCCUUUGCAUGCCUUAGAGAUUUUUUCGAUGCUUGGGGAUUCUGCUCGCCUUCGCGUGGUCGAGCGGAUCCUGGCACACUUGGCUUCUGUCUCGCCAUAAACAGGCUUUGAGACUUGGUGAGCCUUUGUAUGCCUCAGAAAUUUUUUCGAUGCUUGGGGAUUCUUCUCGCCUUCGUGUGGUCGAGUAGAUAGUCGGGUCUUUGGUGUUCUGGUUCACUCUCCUUAACACCCAAUCUCCGACCUUGAACUGCCGUAUGUUCACCUUCUGGUUAUAAUACCGGGCAACCCUCUGCUGGUAAAUGACUGAUCGCUCGGCUGCUUGCUCCCUCUUUUCGGUUAGCAGAUCAAGUUUCAAACAUAUCUGCUCGUCGUUCUCCUGCUCAUUGAAAUGAUCUGUCCGGUGCGUGGUCGUUCCUAUCUCAGCUGGCACGACCGCUUCGUGUCCAAAAGCCAAGGCGAAUGGUGUCUCCCCAGUUGCUGUUUUGUGGAGAAAUUUUUUCGAUGCUUGGGGAUUCUUCUCGCCUUCGUGUGGUCGAGUAGAUCCUGGCACGCUUGGCUUCUGUCUCGCCAUAAACAGGCUUUGAGACUUGGUGAGCCUUUGCAUGCCUUAGAGAUUUUUUCGAUGCUUGGGGAUUCUGCUCGCCUUCGCGUGGUCGAGCGGAUCCUGGCACGUUUGGCUUCUGUCUCGUCAUAAACAGGCUUUGAGACUUGGUGAGCCUUUGCAUGCCUUAGAGAUUUUUUCGAUGCUUGGGGAUUCUGCUCGCCUUCGCGUGGUCGAGCGGAUCCUGGCACGUUUGGCUUCUGUCUCGUCAUAAACAGGCUUUGAGACUUGGUGAGCCUUUGCAUGCCUUAGAGAUUUUUUCGAUGCUUGGGGAUUCUGCUCGCCUUCGCGUGGUCGAGCGGAUCCUGGCACGUUUGGCUUCUGUCUCGUCAUAAACAGGCUUUGAGACUUGGUGAGCCUUUGCAUGCCUUAGAGAUUUUUUCGAUGCUUGGGGAUUCUGCUCGCCUUCGCGUGGUCGAGCGGAUCCUGGCACGUUUGGCUUCUGUCUCGUCAUAAACAGGCUUUGAGACUUGGUGAGCCUUUGCAUGCCUUAGAGAUUUUUUCGAUGCUUGACUCUAUAUGGCCCCUCCCAAUUCGGACCGAGCACUCCUUGAGUCGGGUCUUUGGUGUUCUGGUUCACUCUCCUUAACACCCAAUCUCCGACCUUGAACUGCCGUAUGUUCACCUUCUGGUUAUAAUACCGGGCAACCCUCUGCUGGUAAAUGACUGAUCGCUCGGCUGCUUGCUCCCUCUUUUCGGUUAGCAGAUCAAGUUUCAAACAUAUCUGCUCGUCGUUCUCCUGCUCAUUGAAAUGAUCUGUCCGGUGCGUGGUCGUUCCUAUCUCAGCUGGCACGACCGCUUCGUGUCCAAAAGCCAAGGCGAAUGGUGUCUCCCCAGUUGCUGUUUUGUGGGUUGUUCUGUAUGCCCAUAGCACACCUGACAGCUCAUCAACCCAUGCACCUUUUUUUUGCUCCAAGCCUGGUUUUCAAAAGCCUCUUGAUUGUCUUGUUGGCUGCUUCUACUUGUCCAUUCGAUUGGGGGUGAGCAGGCGAGCAAUACUUCAGCUCUAUCCCGAGGUUCUGGCAGAAAUCCCUGAAGUUGUGAUUAUCGAACUGCCUGUCAUUAUCCGUUACCAGGGCAUAAGGGAUCCCGUAUCGACAGACCAGGUUUCUCCAUACAAAGUCUGUUGUUUUCUUCUCUGUGAUCCUGCUAAGGGCUUCUACUUCUAUCCAUUUCGUGAAGUAGUCUAUAGCAACUAUUGCAUGUGUUGCUGCUCCUCGUCCCUUUGGUAGCGGGCCGAUCAGAUCAAUUCCCCAUUGAGCAAAUGGCCAAUGGGAGGCCAUAGAGGUGAGCUUCUCUGGUGGUUGGUUGGAGAAACUUGCAAAACUCUGGCAGUUUAUACAACUCCUGGUCUUCUCCUGUGCAUCCUGGUGCAUUGUCGGCUAGAAAUAUCCCUGCCUUAGAACCUUGUGGGUCAGGGACCUCCCACCAGAAUGGUUCCCGCAAAUUCCUUCAUGUACUUCUCUCAGUACGUAAUCUGCGUUGUCCUCAUCCAAACAUCGAAGGAAAUGUAGUGUAUAUCCUCGUCGAUACAGUACCCCAUCAAUCAUCGUGUAUCUCGAGGCAUGGGCUCUAAUCUUCCGAGCUCGCAGCUUAUCUGGUGGUAAUACCCCGUCUCUAAGGUAUGAAACUAUCGGGUCCAUCCACGAGCAUUUUUGUUCUAUCCGCAGCACCCCCGAAUUCGGCUCGAUGCUCCGCUCGAUACUUGGGCUGGACUUCACCUCCGGAGGGACCGACUUUGGCAUUUUUGGGUCGGCUACUGCUGCCAUCCUGGCCAAAAUGUCUGCUCGACUAUUCUGCUCCCUAGGGAUUUGUAUCACCUCAACUGCUUCAAAUUUCCCCAUUAUCUGCCUGACUAUCUUCAGGUACUGCUCCAUCUUCUCCUCUCUUGGUUGAAAUAUUUCACUGACAUGAUUCGCAACCAGCUGGGAAUCAGUUCGGAUCUUCACUCUGACUGCUUUCACGGCCUUAGCCAAUUCCAAACCUGCUAUCAAGGCUUCAUACUCUGCCUGGUUAUUUGUGGCUGCAAAUUCUAACUUUACAGCAUAAGAGAUCUCCUCCCCCUCCGGGCCUUCCAAGACAAUCUCUGCUCCUGAACCCUGCUCCCCUGAUGACCCAUCCACAGACAUAUGCCAUACUUGAGCUUCGUCACUGUCUGUAACUACAUCUCAUCGAUCUAAACAUACUUCGGGCUCUGUGAAAUCAGCUACGAAAUCGGCCAUUGCCUGAGCCUUUAUCGCUGCUCGGGGUUUGUAGUCUAUGUCGAACUCGCUCAGCUCUAUAGCCCACUUGACUAGCUGACCAGAAGUAUCUGGCUUGUGCAGAGUGUGACGUAAUGGCUAGUUUGUUAUUACCGAGAUUGGGAAUGCUUGAAAAUAUGGCCUCAACUUCUCAGCCGCAACCACAAGAGCAAGUGUUCAUUUCUCCAACGGUGGGUAUCUGGUCUCAGCAUCGAGCAGGGCCUUGCUGGUGUAGUAUAUCGGAUACUGAACUCCUUCUUCCUCUCUCACCAGAACAGAACUGGCGGCCCGAUCCGAUACCGCCAAAUACAGAUACAACUUGUCCCCAUCCCUCGGUGUGGACAACAGUGGAGCUUGCUGCAAGUAUUGUUUCAAGUUCUGGAAGGCUUCCUCGCAUUCUUGUGCACAAGAGCAAGUGCCCAUUUCUCCAACGUUGGGUAUUUGGUCUCAGCGUCGAGCAGGGCCUUGCUGGUGUAGUAUAUCGAAUACUGAACUCCUCCUUCCUCUCUCACCAGAACAGAACUGGUGGCCCGAUCCGAUACCGCCAAAUACAUAUACAACUUAUCCCCAUCCCUCGGUGUGGACAACAGUGGAGCUUGCUGCAAGUAUUGUUUCAAGUUCUGGAAGGCUUCCUCGCAUUCUUGUGUCCAUUCUGUUUUCUUUCCCCUCCUUAUCACUUGAAAGAAUGGCUGACACUUAUCUGUAGCCUUGGAUAUGAAUCUGCUCAAAAAGCACACUUCUCCGGGUUGAGCUUCAUCUUAUACUUCCUCAAAAGCCCGAAUGUCUCCUCGAGGUGCCUGACAUGUUCCUUCGAGAUUUUGGAUUUGGUGAUCAUGUCGUCCACGUACACCUCCAUGGUUUUCCCAAUCAACGGCUUAAAGACUUUGUUCACCAGCCUCUGAUAGGUGGCCCCAGCAUUUUUGAGACCAAAUGGCAUUACCCUGUAACAGAACAAACCCUGGUUAGUGAUGAAAGUCGUGCUCUCCUCAUCCUGCUCGUACAUGGGGAUCUGGUUGUAUCCCGAGAACGCGUCCAUGAAACUAAGCAGACCGUGUCCAGCCGUUGAAUCUACCAGCUGAUCGAUCUUUGGUAAAAGGAAGCUGUCUUUUGGGCACGCCUUAUUAAGGUCUGUGAAAUCCACACACAUCAUCCACUUGUCAUUUGCCUUCUUUACUAACACCACAUUCGAUAUCCAUUCAGGGUAAUUGACUUCCCGAAUGAACCCUGCUCUCAAGAGCUUCUCCACCUCGCCAUUUAUAGCAUCAUACCUCUCAUGGUUAAAGCACCUCCUCUUCUGCCUUACUGCCCGAGCACCUUUCUUUAUUGCCAGCUUAUGACAUGCUACCUCAGGGUCAAUCCCUGGCAUGUCUUCAUGUGUCCAAGCAAACACAUCUGCAUGAGCCUGUAAGCAUUUCAUCAACUCAUGCUUUUGCUCUCCCUUAAGUCUCGACCCGAUCCUGAUCGUCUUUCCCGGAUUCUCUGGUUCCAGGCUUACUGUUUCCAGAUCCUCUACAGGUUCUUACCUGCCAUUCUUGUUUUCUACUCGGGUAUUGAGGGAUGUUAUCUGCAUUGCUUCCCUUGCUGCCGAGGAGUAGCAGCUUCUUGCGAUCCUAUGGUCUCCUCGUACCACUCCAACUACCCCAUUCACCCGGUACUUCAAAGCCAGAUAAUGGUUGGACAGCACCGCUUUGCUCAUCCUCAGAAAUGGCCGGCCUAGGAUCAUCUGGUAAGGUCCUUCCUCAUCCACUACCACAAAGUCCAGUAUCAUUGUCCUUUCUGUCGGGGAGCUCCCAAUCGUGAUAGGCAGCUCGACCACGCCCAGAGGGACCAGCUUUCCUCCUCCAAACCCCUUCAAGGAGGUAUUGGUGUAAUCCAACUUCAGGUCUGCUAUUCCCAUCUCCUCCAGGGUUGACUUAAACAACACAUCAACUGAACUCCCUGUGUCAACCAGUAUCCUGUCAAACUUCUUGCUAGCAACAGUGGCCUUGAUGACCAGAGCGUCCUCGUGGGGGUAUAAGAUCCCUUCUUCAUCCUCAUCUGUCCACAUGAUUGGCACUUGCCUGACUCUUGCACGUUUGGCCGCUGGGGUGUUGAAGAAUACCUCCUUGCUGGUCAUGGCGUAUCUAGCAUAAUUCUUCCUCGACCUGUUGGAAUCUCCGGCCAAUGUUGGGCCCCCAGCUAUAACCCUUACUGCAGGUUGCUCUCGCCUCAAGUUCCUGUCACUCUGCUCCCCUUCACUUGUUGAGGCUACCGUUGGGAAGGUCCCAUCUACAAACUUGUCCAGAUACCGAUUUCUCACCAAAUCUUCAACCUAGGUCUUAAGAUCUCUGCAAUCUGUUGUAGUGUGGCCAUGAGUGCCAUGGAACUUACAAUAGCGUCCCCUAUCUCUCCUGCUGGGUAGCUUUGUUAUUGGAGCAGGGAGGUAUAGCAACCCCCGAUCCUUUAUGGCCUCGUACACCUCGUCCAGGGACAUCUUCAAGGAAGUGUACCGUCCAUAGUCCUAGUUCUGGUCGAUCAGGUGCACUGCUCUUUCUCUGUUUGCUCCGUUCUGAGUUGGGGGUAUUGGCAGUACUUCUGGUCUGCUCCCUCUGCUACUGUGGGAAUAUUGAUGAAGACCCCCAUAUGCCGAAUCAUGCCUUCUCCAAGGCUCCCUAGUUGAGGAACGAGGAGGUUGCGCCCUGCUGCGCUGAUACUGUGGUGGCCUCUGAUGAGGCUGGUAAGCAGUUACCCGACCUCCUGCUCCACUACCCGAGGUCUGGUGGUCCCUCCUCCUGAUCGGCCCAUUCCCUGGUAAUGCUUUCUUCUCUUUCCUCCCCAACCCUUCUAACUAGUCUGUCUUAAUCCGUGCUGCCUUCUCCUCUUCAAUCUCAAUGUCUCUCUUAGCCUGCUCGUAUGCGGCCGCAUACGUCUGGAUAACUGGGCUUCUCAAGUUGUACCACAACCUUCCUAUCUUCACCCCUUCUUUCAAUCCCCUUAACGCCUGAGGGUGGUUGAAGGCUCCCAAGUCGAGGACAACACGAUGAAACCUCUUGAUGAAUUCCCGAAGGGUUUCUUGCUCCCCCUGUUUCAUGCUUUUCAGCUCCAUCAUGUCAUCUUCUAGUGCCAUUGCCCCACUAAACUGCUCUGCAAAUUCCUGGCACAUCUGCUCGAAGGUUUUAAUGCUGCCCUGAGGAUGUUUCCUGUACCACUCUCAUGCACGUCCCUCAAGGGAUAGUGGGAACACCCUGCACCUUUGGGAUUGAGAUAAUUCUUGUACCCUAGUUAUGUCGUUGAAGCGCUCUAUGUGUACCAGCGGAUCAGUUCUUCCCGAAUAUCUAAGGUCUGGGAGGCAGAAAUCUCUCGGAAUAACUGCCCUCAUGAUCUCUGCUGCGAGCGGUGAUUCUCCGUCCAGCAUUAUCCUCCAACCAGGAGCUCUGCUCCUUCCUUGCAUGUCGUCAAUUAUCUGGGCUAGUCUGCGCACUUCCUCCUCCAGCUGCACUGCACGACCAGGGUCACGUGCUGCAACUUAAUCCCGCUCUUGCUCUACAUCAUGCAAAUGUUGCCUCAGCAUUGUUUCCUCUGCAUUCGCCACCCUAUCGUCCUCGUCAAAAAUCUGUCUUACCGGGGACUGCUCUUCCUCUCUAUGGAAUUCUCCCCGCAGGGGUAUGUUACCUCUUUCACCACAAAAUCUCCCGGUGGUUUGACUUCUCCUCGUACUAUCGGGACCUGGUGCCAUUCCACCACCUCUCACCCUUUCUUCCUGGGUUACCCUUCGUUCGCUCCGCAGCUCAUGCAGGAUGGUUGUCAAGGUCUCCAUCUGCUUUUCCAUCCGUUCCAUCCGGUCGAACAUGGCUUUUUCCCGUGCUUCACUGGUUAUCUCCCUCAGCGUCACGGAAUCGUUAAGCCUCAUAUCACCCCCUUAUGCACUACUUCCUCCUGUCUCCAUUGCUUUUCAGUUGCUUCCCUUCUCUUCUUGUUAUCAACAGAAGCUUUUUGCUCAGCUCCCCACAGACGGCGCCAAAAUGUUGAUGCGAGAUUCUGGUUACGCCUUCCAACGACCAAGAUGUCUGCUCGAUCAACCUCACCUCGAUCAGGAUCUCUCCUCGUACGCUUUCUUCCCUAAGUAUCCCUGCGUCCACAGAAACAAGUCAGAGCACGCCGGUUGUUUUUUCGGCGUAAACCCUCCGAUGCUCAAGUCAGAUAUAAAGGCUCUGGGAACGCUUGCCACAAAUCUUAUGGCUUUUAGGUCGUUUUUUUCUCUUUUAGAAUUUCCUUUCUCUCUGUUAUAAUCUCAAAAUUGCUAACCCUUUUACCUUCGUUGGCUACCUUUUUAUAGGCCACUUUUGAGCUCAGGCCUUUCCUCCCUUUGCGCUCGCCAUCCUCCCACUUCUCGAAAGUGGAUGCUCCAUUGCCGUAGUCGUGGGUGGUUGCGUGGCCCUCGCGCCUUGAUUCUCGGACUAGAGAGCAUGUCUCGCCAACUGUCGUUGACUGGGUCUCCUCGACCCAACCGUUAGUAGUAAUAUAGCAGGAACGGCUUUAUGCUCCCAACAGGAGACUGACCUCGUGGAUGCCGUACUCAUGGAUGAGCAGGAUACUCCUGCUCCUGCUCCCCCGGCUACCAGACUCUUGCAAGAUAUACCUAUUCGAGGAACCCUGCUACCAGGCGCCUGCUCAUCACUGCUGGUCGUCGUCGAAACAUAUCCCCCAAACAGUAUUCAAAUUUGCCAAGAGAUCUAUGUGACACUUAUGCCCUUUGUGGAGCCUGUGGCGUUUGCAUCAUUAACGAUUUGCCUGUUUGCCACUGUUUAAAAGGUUUUAAACCAAAGUCAAGGGGAUAUGUGGACUGGUCUCUAGGGUGUGUGUGUGAUAAGUCGUUAAACUACUCUAGACAAGAUGGCUCCAUCAAAUUCACUUCGAUGAAAUUGCCAGAUGCUACUCCUUCUCGGGUGAGCAAAAGUAUAAAUCUCAACGAAUGCAGGGAGAAGUGCUUAGAAAACUCUUCUUGUAUGGUGUACACAAAUUUAGAUAUCAGAGGAGGAGGCAGUGGCUGUGCCAUGUGGUUUGGUGAACUGAUUGACAUGAGAGACUUUCCAGAUGGUGGGCAGGACUUGUAUAUUCGAAUGUCUGCUUCAGAGAUAGGUACCCGUGGACUUGUUUUUGUCACUCCAUUAUGGGAACUUACGAGUACCACUCCAGUUAGACUAGUUCCACAUUUUUAUUGUGCAAUUUAGUAUUGAGUUCUGAUUGAGAAGCUCCUUUCGCAUAAAGCAGUUUCUGGGUAUAGCAUCUAUGCAUAUAAUUCUUUUGCUACUUGAAUCAUUUGAUUAUUGACUUGCUCUGCUAUAUUAGAAUACACUGAUCAAGGAGCAAAAGGUAAGCCUACAACAAAGAUAGUGGUGAUAGUCGUUCCUACAGCUGCUCUGUUAGCUGCGGUGCUCAUAGCUGGCUACUUGAUUCACAAAAACAGGAGAAAUAUAGUAGUUAUAAUAGCACUCCAUUUUCCUUCACAAAUUUUCAUUGACGACUUGAUGUAGGGAAAUCAAACUCUUAUAAAUAUUAAAUUUAUAAGAGUACAUUAAAUUUUUAUAUGCAGCAAUAACUGUAUAUUUGUUUCAAGAUGAAGAGUUAACAGUGCAUAUCAUUUAGAUCAGGGGCAAGGUAAUUAAACUUGUAAAUUUUUUGUUGCAAUAGCAGAUUUACUUACUUGCAUUUAGUGUUAUAUCAUUACACACCUCUUUUUCACCUAUGGUUCUUUAUUUACUUGCACUUUCAUAUUGACUGGAAAAUAGCUUUAAUACAAAUUUACAGAGAAAGAACCUCCUCAUCAAGAACACGAAAAUUGUAAUUACUAGUUAGUAGUUUGUCCAGUAUACGUACUGCAUAUGUGCUUUCAGUUAAUAUUAUCCAAUAUUUCAGAGAAAACAGAAAACAACAGGGAAACUGAUCAGGUUCAAAACAUGGACCUGGAGCUACCACUGUUUGAGUUAGCUACAAUUGCUAAUGCCACCAGUAACUUUUCAAUCAACAACAAGCUUGGAGAAGGUGGCUUUGGACCUGUUUACAAGGUAAACUUGAAACUUGCCAGUCAAAAAUAAUUAUUUUACCGGGCAACUAAAUUCACAUAUAUGUCUGGGCAGGGCACGCUAGUGGAUGGGCAGGAAAUUGCUGUGAAGAGGCUUUCGAAGAUUUCAUAGCAAGGAUUGAAGGAGUUAAAGAAUGAAGUUAUACUAUUUUCCAAAUUACAGCAUAGAAAUCUUGUAAAGCUUCUUGGCUGCUGCAUUCAGGGAGAGGAGAAAUUGUUGAUUUAUGAAUUCAUGCCCAACAAAAGCCUGAACUCUUUCAUUUUUGGUCUGGGUCCCUAUAACCUUAAAAUAAUCAGCUAGCUUGUGCCUUGAUUAUAGACGUUUCUUAUGUUAUUUCAGAAAAUUUUGUACUAACCUUAAUGCGGUAAUUUGUAGAUCAAGAAAGAUGUAAGAUAUUGGAUUGGUCCAAGCGUUUCCACAUUAUUUGUGGGACUGCUAGGGGUGUUAUGUACCUUCAUCAAGAUUCUAGAUUGAGGAUUAUACAUCGAGAUCUCAAAGCAAGUAAUGUGCUACUCGAUCAAGAUAUGAAUCCAAAAAUUUCAGAUUUUGGUUUGGCAAGAGCUUUUAGUGGAGACGAAACAGAAGGAAACACAAAAAGAGUGAUUGGAACAUAGUAAGUACUUCUUGUCAAGUGAUCUUUACGAUUCACUUGUACUGAUUAAUAAAAAUUAACUGAUUUAUUUUCAUAUUUUGAAGUGGCUAUAUGGCACCAGAAUACGCUAGUGAUGGGCAAUUCUCAGUAAAAUCCGAUGUCUUCAGCUUUGGAAUUUUAUUGCUGGAGAUAAUAAGUGGAAAGAAAAAUAGAGGAUUUUAUCAUUCCGACAACAAGCUUAACCUUAUAGGACAUGUAGGUAAAAUGCAUACGACAUUUUCUAACAUAAUUUGAACUAAAAAACUAUAGAUGAUAAAAGAGUUUUAAUAUGUUGUAGGCAUGGAAGUUGUGGAACGAAGGCAUGCCUUCACAAUUAAUCGAUCCGUGUAUUCAAGGCUCAUUCAAUCUUGCUGAAGUGAUACGAUGCAUCCACAUCGGUUUGUUAUGCGUGCAACAGCAUCCAAAGGACAGGCCAAGCAUGCCCUCAGUGAUUUUGAUGUUGGGCAGCGAGACUGUGUUGCCUCAGCCAAAGCAACCCGGUUACUUGGCGGACAGGAAAUCUACCAGACAAGAUUAUUCAUCAAGCACGCCUGAAUCAUGUUCAACUAAUACAAUUACGAUCUCUGAGUUGGAGGGUCGGUAGAGAAUCUAUUUGUGGUAUCAUGCCUUGUUCUACAUUGUCAAGUGCAAAAGCAGUAAUAUGUCAACCAAAUGGAAAGUUAAGAUAAAUGAUUGGACAAAAAAUGAUGAGGAUCAUCCAGUGAAUGCAUGUUGUGGAUCUAAAAGUUCAGAGGACAGGCCUAUUCGGCAGCUGACUACUUGGCCAAAAAUGCAGGCUCUAUACCUCUCGGAUUUCAUGUUUAUCAUGAACCUCCUGUAGGUCAUGAUCCUUGGCUUUGUUAUGAUAUGUAUGGGACAAUGAUUCCCCAUUCGGUUGUGUCUUAGCUUGGCUAAGCCUUUUUUUGGUAAAAAAAAAAAAAGAAUGUAGACUAAUGUUCAUAUAGAAAUUGUAAAUUAGAGGUACUGUGAGCAGUGUUGGGUCCAAAAAAAUGAUUAACCGAGAAUUAAAUUAAGUAAAAGCAAGACAUUAUUGAUUCCCUUCAUUCCUGUAAACCCGCCGAAUUGUUCUUUCCUAAAUUAACUCAAGCAUUAAUUUUCUUUUUAGAACAAGAAAGAUAAAAUUUGUGAUUGGUGGAGUGGUUAAUUAUUAUUUUUGAUAAAUUUGAAUCUAUUUUUGAAAUAGAAAAAUGUUUUGGGUUGUGGGUCAUUAUUAUUUUUAAAUAAAGCGUGAGUUUCAAAGUUCAAGUUAAAAUUUAAAUUUUGUAGAUUUAUGAAUGUAUAGAGGCUAUUUUAAUAGAUUGAUGAAGGUUAAUUAGAAGGAAAAAGCUAUUUCCCCUGAAUUUAAUCCGGAAUUGCGCCCCGAAUUAGAAAAACGACGUCGUUUUGAUUCAAUUGAAAACGCUGCAUCAGAAACCACACUCACGCAGUCUCUUAGGGUCCGUUUGGUAUUGUUUCUGAAUUUGAAUUUUCUAAGAAUAAAAAUGAAAAUGAAAAUAGUGUUUUGCAGUUGUUGUAUUUUGAAUUUAAAUAUGCGUUUGGUAUCAUUUUCUGUAUCCUAUAUUUCUAAACUGAAAACAGUAAUAUGCGUGUGGUAGAUAUAGUUGAAAAUGAUAAAACCAAAUAAUAUGCGUUCGGUAAUACCUUUUUCAAAAACAGUUUUUACUAAGCAUUUUAAGUUAUAAUUAUAGUUAGAAAAUAAUUGUGACAAUAUUACAUACACGAAUAUACCAUAAUAAUUUAAGCAAAAUUAUUAUAAAAAAUUAAAUAAUGAUAAAGUUUUAUAAUUACCAUUAAUUAAAAAAAAAGUUUUACAUUGUCAUUGUUUUUAUACUAUAAUUAAGAUGUAUAUUGCAACACAUGAUUUAAACAAAAUAAUUAUAAAAAAUUAUAUAGUACACAUUAUGCAUUAUGUGUAAUCGUGCCUCAUAGAAGCUGCAAUCUCAUCUCUUAUAGCAUUCAUCUCUGCGACAUUAGCUGGUAACCAAAUCUUGCUAUCCUCACCACCAACAUCAUGUGGAUCCAUAUCUUGUUACUAUAAAAUUAGAAAAAAUAACAUAUAUCAAAUAUUAAUGAAAUUAAAGAAACUACUUCUAAACAUACAUAGCUCAAACUUUUGAAAUUAAUCAAAUUCAACAUAGCAUGAAAGCCAUUUUACCAAUAUGUCAUAGAUUAAAAAUUCAACAGUCCAAAAUAAAAAAUAUUCCAAUACAACUUCACCAAUUCAAAUUAAUGGCAUAAACAAAAACAGAUAUAUGUAUUCUGCAUCCUUAACACAAAUACAAUGCUAUUCGGCAAUCAUCAUUUUCCCCAAAUAUAUUUAUCUGAAAUUACAAUUUCCAGCUUGCAUUUCGAUUCAAUGACAGAGAGAAAAUAUUAAAACUCAUAAUGACCAAGCACACAAAGCAACAACAUAGCAACAAUUAAAGCAGCAAGACAAAUCCCCCAAUUCCAGUUCAUCGCUGCCUUUUUUUUCAUUCUGCAAACAAAAUCAAAGUGUACCAAAAAUAUUUUUACACGGUUUUGCUUUCAAAUCAACACAAUUACUCAUAAUCUAAAAUAAUUACUCAAAAUUAUUAAAACUCAUAAUAACAAAGCACACGAAGCAACAACAUAACAACAAUUAAAUCCCCCAAUUCCAGUUCAUCGCUUCCUUUUUUUUCCAUUCCGCAAACAAAAUCAAAGUGUAGCAAAACUAUAUUCACACGGUUUUGUUUUCAAAUCAACACAAUUACUCAUAAUCUAAAACAAUUACUCAAAAUUAUUUUGGCUUGAAUAGAGGGAAUACACAAUUAACAUGCUUUAAAAAAAUCUCGCAAAAUUAUUCAAACAAUUACUGAAAUAAAAAAAAUUACCAGCAAGCUGAGAGAGAUGCAGCAGUUCAGUCGAUCAAGUAGGAGCGGCGGUGGCUACACGGAGAUGGACAGCAGUGGCUAUGCUCAAACGGAGCAGCAACGGCCACGACGGAGAGAGAACGGCACACCAAAGGACAACCGCGGUAGAGACGAAGUUGCAGCGGCGGCAGAGAAAGUGUUGUUGGAGGGAGAAAAGGAGAGAGAGAGCGGGUAGAGAGAAGACUGCUACCGAAGAAAAGGAUGAGGAGAUAAGGAGAGAGAAAAUGUUGUUGGAGUAAGAAAAGGAGAAAGCACUGCUGCCGUGACUAGAUCGAUAACGAUGGCAGGGAGGGGGGGUGACCAGAUCGAGAACAAUGAGAGGGGGGAGAGGGUUGCUGCCGAAGAGAAUGAGUUUUGUUUCUUAAUCUAUUUUUGAGUUUAGUUUGUAAUAUUUAGGAAACAUGUUAAACACAUUUUCAUGUUUGUAGUUAUAACACUGGAUCUGAAUUUGUUAUUUUGUGAUUUGUUUUUUGAAUCCAUCUCACCAAACAUAUAUUAUGUUUGUAUUAUGAAAACAAAAAUGAAAACAAUGGGUAAAAAACGCUACCAAGUUACUUUCCUUUUGACAAACCAAAGACUCCAACACAAAUAGCAAUCACACCCACAAAUAGCAAUCACCCAACGGCCACGCGAACAGCCGGUACAGACGACAGACCACCGCCAUCACGUGAUCGAGGGAGUAGAACUCACGCGGUGGUGCGUCCAAACUCCAACGAAAUCGACGACGACGGAGGUAGUUAGAGCCACAGUUCUUUCGAGCUAAAUCGCUGGUGUUCCUAUUGGUUUUCAGCGACGAGGAUGGCAAGGAAACGAUGGCCAACUUCCAAUCUUCAGAUCAAUACCUUGAUCGGCCGGUAGAGUGGUCGGGAUCGUGAAAUCCAACCGGGUCACGUUUGCAGGUCAAGUCGGGUUUGCGGGUCAACUUCUCUCCCUCCUCAUCCACUCACAAAGCGCCACACGGCUCCCCUUGGCCAGGUUGUUGCUGCUGGAAUUUGUUUUGCUGGAACCAUUACUGGUGCUAGAAUUGAUGCUCGAGUUGUUGCUGCUAGAAUUGUUUUUGCUGGAAGUGUUACUGGAAUUUUUUUUGCUAGAAGUGUUACUGGUACUGGAGUUGGUGCUCGAAUUGUUGCUGCAAUUUUUUUUCUUUUUUUUGUGUUUGUGUGUAUGAACUAGAGGUGGCAAAAAUAUAUGCCCGGUCUAGACCCAGAUCAUACCCGAGCGUUGUUAUUCGGCCCGGGUAUAAAGUUGGGUUGAUCUUAGGUAUCACUUGAUAAACCCGGAACCUGGAUUUUAUUAAAAAAAUUAUAAAAAUAUAUUAUUUUAAAUAUUUAUAUUUAUUUGACUCAUUUAUUAUACAUAUAUAAAGUUUUAAAUACUUAAAAUUUAUAUUUUCAUGUUAAAUUUUAUUGAAAUAAAUUUAAAACUUAUAAAAUUAUCAAAAAAUAAAAAAUAUAUACACAUACUGCUGUACCGUACAUCCGCCUUGGCCGUACAGCAGUAAGAUAUGCAUUCACAAAUCAGAAGCAACCCGGACCCGGCCCAGGGUUUUGCCAUCCCUAGUGUGAACUCCUGAUUGUUUUUUAUUAUCUUGGGCACUUGUUGCUGCUGAUAUGUGUGUGUGAAAUUGCUUCAAUGAAUUGAAUACAACAAGUGCCCAAGUCUUGUUGGAAUCAACAAGUCUUGCUGCUGGAAUUGUUGCUACCGUUAGUGUUGCUGCAAUGAAUUGAAGAAGCAACGUCGUUCGGUUUAAGUGACCGUUUUAAAACUCACACACAUGUGCUGCACAGUUGCAAUUAAAAAGGAAAAGUGACCGUUUUAAAACACAGCGUUUUGGCAAAUUCAGAGUUAAGUUCGGGGCAUAUAGCAGCGCUCUAAUUAUAAACCCAAAUGAUUUUUUCUUUUAUUUUUUUUGUCUUUCACAUGCUAAAUCCACCACCCUUACCGAUAAAAAUUGGGAUGAUUUAUUUUUAUCCUAAUGAUCAUAAUAAAAAUUUUAAAAAAUUUUUACUAUUUUAUCAAAAUUAUUAUUUAAAAAUCAUAUUUACCCCAAUUUUUUUUUUAACUACAAUGUUUGAGGGUGUAUUAUGAAGUGACCAGCUAUACCCUAAACGAGAAGUCGACCUUCUUAUAAGUGAGCAGACAUGUGAGGUCUGGUAUCAGGUAGCCAAAAGCAGGCAUUUUCUGCUCGAUUACAAGGACACCCUCUGCUAGACCUUAGCACGAGCAGGAUUCCUGCUAGAAACCGAGAGCCUUCCUGCUGGAGACCGGGGUCGACAGACCCAGUCCAUAACAGUUAACGGGUGUGCACUUCUAUUCGAAAAUCUAAGCACGAAAUCCACUCGGCCGCAACUACAAUAUUCAAGCAUCCACUUCCGAGAGCUGGGGAGGUGGUGAACGUGGGUCAUGGGGGGCUAAAUUUAUAGGAAGACUAUAAAAGAGGUAAUCAACGAAGGUAAAAAGGUUAAACACUUUUACAUAAAAAUUAAGAAAAAAAAAGCAUUCUAGGAAAAACCUGUGAAAAGCUCAUAGGUAUUUUAUUGCCUAGGGAGCCACGAGAUCAGUGGCAGAAUUUCUUAAAAAGUCAACCCGAAUUUCUAAUUUGAGCGUUGAAGGGUUUACACGAAGAAAACUUCCAGCGUGCUCUGACUAAUUUGUGUGCACAGGAGUUCGUCGAGAAGAAGUUGCAAGAGGCAUACCUCUAUUCGCCUAGAAGAGUAACAUGAAGUAUACUCGGUAGGCUGCAAGUUUAAGAGUUAAAAAGAGAUCCUGAUCGUAAAUGAGCAGAAACUAAAAUCUCGCAUCAAUAUAUAUAUAUAUAUAUAUUUUUUCACCACGACUAUAACUUUUAAUAUAACUUAGGUUAUCAAAAUUUUGAGCUUCAUUCAACCAACCAUAAAUCAUGAUUAAAGUCUACGUUGCGUAAGUCAAGAAAGACUUUAAUGGGAGAGAGAUCAUCUUUAUUAUCGACACUACAAAUGGACCCCAAUUAUAUCUAAAGUCUUUGGGCUCGUGUCCCGUUGUCUUCUUCUUUUUCAAAACCCUAUUUACUAACCAUUAAUUCGGUUGGUUGAUAAAUCCGGCGGUUUCUGAUUUUCUUAUUUAUUUUUAUGCGAGUGACCCCGUAACGAUAGCAUCGCAAUCUCAUGAAAAAAAAUUUUCCAAACGCAUGAAAAUUGGACACCCAUCAACAAAAAUCUUUUUGUUACAGUAUUUACUGUACUUUCAAAAUUUUAAACAUGACAAAAAUUAAGUAAUCUACUUAUCAUAAUAAUCUAUGACCAAAAAUAUUGAACAUGUAAUUUUUUUUUUUUUUGUAAUUAUACACGCACAUCACUCUUUUACGAUUAAUUGACUAAACAAGUAUGAUAAACGAUUUUAUAAUGGAUUGUCUCAUAAUCUAAAUUUAUCAAAUAUUUUAAUGGUGAGACUAUUCGAAUUGAAUCCAUAAAAUUCUUUUAAAAUUUUCUUUACAACUUAUAACAUACUUUUUAGAAAGUCUAUCGAGUACUUAUUUAAAAAUUUUAUUUCAAUAGAUAUCAAGAAAAAUUAUUUGGUUAAGAGAAAUGAGCCCCUUUUGAGUUGGUGAAGCAUGAGCUCAUCACUAGGCAAUCCAUCAAAUUAUUCAAUAAACACAUUUACCCCACACAUCUAUAAUUAAUUAGAGGGAUGGAAUCAUUUGAACUUAUUAAAUUUCUCUUAACAUCCAUUUAUUUAACAUAUCCCCUAUCAAAAUCUUAAAAUUAAAUUUUAAUAAACCUCUUAAUACCCCACAAAUAACCGUUUUAUGGUUGGUGCAAUAAUUUAGAUAAUUAAAUUAUUUAUUGUUUUUGGUAAUUUUUAUUUAAGAUUAUUUUUGUAAUAUAAUUUUUUAUUUAAAAAUAGGUCUAAGGUGCAUUUUUAUGGGGCCCAAACGACCUUAAAAUUAGAAAAAUUAAAUUUUACCAUAUAAAAGCAAAACCUCUAGUACUUCCUAAAGUAUCCUUCAUUAGAUUUCUUUUUUUAAUUCUAUUAUUUUCUCUCUCCUAAAGAAGUUGCUGUAUCCUUUCUGGUAAGAUGCUCUGUUCAGGCUUCAAUGUUGUUGGAUUGAAUUGGCAACUGAACUCGAAUCAAUUCUCAUGCAAGGGUUGGGGAAUUUGCUCAACUUAUAAUUGGUAGGUUUAUGCCUUUGGGAUCAAACUCAUUUCGCCUCUCCAAGAAUCUGCAAAAUUAAUUUGUAUUAUCAUGUCGGCGCUGCUUAUAAUUAGUAGUGCUUGCAUUGCCCUGAAUUCAGGCAUUGCUUGAGUAGAGUUGGGCUUGCUGAUUCAUUUUAGUGACAAAUGAAAACAUUAAAAAAAAAAAAUCAGGACUUGUUCGUCCAAAUUUACAGAUAUUUUGUUCUUUAAUUAAUUUUAUUAUAACAAACAAUAGGAUAGCAGUGUUGUUUAACCAGUUGCUUACACCUUGGCAAUAUAGCUUUGUGUUUUUUUUUUCUUUUUUCUUAUUCAUAGAGAUGUCAAAUUCUCUAUCUUCACCAUAAUUCUAGAUUGAGGAUUAUACAUAGAGAUCUCAAAGUAAGUAAUGUGUUACUUGAUAAUGAGAUGAACCCAAAAAUUUUAGAUUUGUGUGAGAUGGCACUGUUCACAUUAUUUUUUUAAUUUCUUUAAUUAAAAUAACAAAACUAAAUAAAAAUGUAUAAUAUUUAAUAAAAUUAAAAAUUCAAGUAUGUUGCCGCUAGUGCUGAUGAACUACUAGCGAAAGUUCGACGGCGGCUAGCCACAGGUGGCUACUGCAUGACAUCAUGUUUUACCCUAAAAUUUGGUAUCAUUAAAAUUCUCAUUGUCGGGGCUUCACAGUAAUGCCAAAACCUUGAAUGUAGAUCGAUGGUGAAUGAAAAUUCCUUUGCCAAUGAUAGUUGACCAUUGCAUAGCCCUAAUAAUAAUGAUUCUAAUGGUAUCAAAAUAUAGUUCAAAUGGUACUAAAGUGGGAUGGUCAAGGUGAAAAUUUUUUAUUUUGAUUAUAAAAUUUUAAAUUAUUAAUUGAAUAUAAAUAAUAAUAGAAUAUAAAUGAAACUUUGAUUAUAAUUUAAUAUAAAUAUUAAAAUAGAAAUUAUUAUUUUAAAUAAUACAAUGCAAGCUACAUCAAACACCAUAUUGUAUUACAGCUUAAUACAAUAUAAUAUAAUACAAUAUAGUAUGUCAAACGCACCCAUAAAAAAAAAUUCAAAAUCACAAGAUUUAUUUGGUGGGCUUUACCUGCAUUAUCCUCAGUUUACUUUUUGAGUCAAAUAAACAAUAGGCCCCAGAGACUUUUUAGUUCAUCAUGCUAUUGCUUUAGAUGUACAUACAACUAUAUUGAUCUUGGUAAAGUGGACAGUUUACUUUUUGCGUCAAAUACUAUGUUGGGAUUAAUUUUUUAUAAAAUUAGUCUAUUCCACUGUCUUUAACUGCAUCCAAACAUACCCCAAUGGUUAACUAUGAGAAAAUUUAAUAAGACUAGCAAUUUGUUUACUUGGAAUUGGAAUGGACAAAAAUUGCAAUGAGUUGAAAUCAGAACAGGCUGGAAUUGAUCACAUGAGAAAUAAGAAUCAAAGUAAAUUAUAUACUUGAAUCGAAAUCAACAAAAUUCCAAUUGAUGUAUUUACUUUUGUCUUGUAAUCCAAAUAAGUUGUCACAAGUCAUAAAAAUGUCCUUAGUUCCACUCUUGCCAGAUGUCAUGAUGAUAUACGUUUCAUCCAUCUGGUAAGCGAAGGAGUUAUUGCAAGUUAAAAAAAUGUCCUUAGUUACAAUUAUGUAUUUUUCUAUGUAAAAUAAAUAAGCAAACAUUUUUAAAGAAACCAUUGGCAUAUUUAUUAUAAUAUUGAGUGUAAUACAAUGAGUUUUUGAGUAAACUAGUAGUUGUUGUUGUUAUUUUAAAUCGAUAAUAACUACUAUUAAUAUUAUUAUUGUAGGGAAAUUAAAGCCCUAACUUCUUAUUAAUUUAAUUCCUUCUUAUUACCAGAAGGGGAACCAAAGUUCAAAUACCAAGUUUUUGUUGCUGGCAGGACUCGAACCUACGCCCCUCAACUUUCUAGGUAUAGGUUCUCCCAUUAGAUUACAAGGUCGGCUUGUGUUAUUGUUACUACUAAUACUAUUAUUAUUAUAAUUGUUUAUUUUCUUAUUAGUAUAAUUAAUCUUAUUAAGAUUAUUUAAUUAUGUAAUAGGAAUAAAAUCAAAAUUUCAGAAAUUAAGGGAUAGUAAAAUAAUUAAUUUAGAAAAUAAAAAUCGCAAUCCCACCUUCUCAUAGAAAUAAGAUUCUCAUUCCCACCUUUAAAAUUUGGUGGGCCUCACAAAUUUCAUUCACAUUCUCAAAUAUCAAAUAAGCAAGUAAAUAAUGGAAUCAUUUCCGGUCUUCCAUUCUUGACUCCCAUUCCAAGAAGUUAAUAACCUUUAAUAGAACGUUCAAAUGAAAAGACUAGCCAGGCCUUGAGAAUUGACAUCCAUCAAUUAUCUCUUCCGUGUUAGAAAUAUAUGUUAUUUGUUUUGUCUUUUUUUUUUAAUUCAUAUAUUGUUGAAAAGUCAAAAUUGACGAUUUGUUUAUUCAAAUUGAUUGAAAAAUAAGAGGUGAGCCACAUGCAUAAUUGACUUUUGGAAGAGGUAGGAAUCGCAUGCAUGAUUUCUUUCAAAAAUGAAGAAUUUUUGUAACUUUAUGAAGACUUUUUUUAUGCAAUUGAAGAGUUUUUCAAAAGGUAGAAAUGGUGGCCCAAAUCAUUGAAAUAAUUGCAUGUAAAUUAGAUGUUAGGUGUUGGUGCCUAUAAAUAGAGAGCAUUUCUUCAUUUCAUUUCAUCCCAAAAAUUUGAGAGCUUAAGAGAAAUUGCAAGUGAAACAAUUAUAAAGUUCUGAGAGUGUGAGCAAUUGGAGAGUGUGUGUGAGAGUAUUUGGUGUAUUUAGGUUUUGGGAAAGUGAGGUUUUUCUACUUAAAUUUGUACUCUAAUAAUUGUUGGUAAUACAAUUAUUUUUCUUUUGCUCCCGUAGACGUAGGCAUAUUGCCGAACCACGUAAAAUUCUGUGUCUUUUAUUUUUCUGUGAUUAUUUGGUGCGCUUGAUUCUGUAUUCCGUGCACAACAUAUAUGAUCACUCUUGAAUCUCAAAAAGCAAAAAAAAAAAUCCCAUUAAAAAAGAUCCAUUGCAACUUGUAGACAAAUACAAAACAGAAAAAUUAGUAUUCCUAGUCCACUGCCCCGUUAAGAGACUAUCAUUUUUCUUACCUAUGAUCGAAGCUUCAUUUGGAGGAUAUGCUGUACAGAGUAGUUUUCCAAUCCAGUAUCUUGGAUUGGAGUUAUAAUCCGGGGGACAAUUUGUAGCCGUCGGAUCAAAUCCAAUGGCAACUUAUAUUUUUAUUUCAAAUAUUGAUUCCGACAGUAGGGCCCACAUGCAGACUUUUACAAUUUUUAAGGGUUCAGUUAUGUUGCAAGAGUUGUCAGGACCUCAAUUUUUAUCUUUUGUGAUUUAACUAAUGUAAAUUUAACAGAACGCCUUAUACUCUAUUUUAUUCAUAAAAUAUUAACAAAUAUUAUGAUACCUUUUACUUACAUACACUAUUAAAAUUCUAUUUAACACCUUACACUCUUUUUAUUUAUUAUUUUCAUAAAUAUUAAAGUAUUUAUUUGUUUACAUCCAACACUAAUAUUAACAAAAAGACAACAAUACCCUUAAAUUUAUAAACUAAAAAUAAAAUUUUAGAUUUGGAGCCAGCAAGUUUAAGGGACUCCAAAUCCAAGAUUGUGACUCUCUGUUGGUGCCUUUGACUACAAGUAACGCCAUGCCAUUGGCAGAAGUGGAUGGAUUCAUUCGACGAGCCUAAAGCACCAAGAGGAUCAUGGGUGAUCUUGGACUUGAAUUCAAGCAAGGCUAAUCGAUCUGUCCCGUUGCCAACAACUUCAGAAGCCCUCACACCAAGGAUUUCAGGAAUUAGAAUGGCGUGGAAGCUGAAGCAGAAUACAAGGACAGCAUACGCAACUAAAAAAGAGCAAGGGCAAGGCACUCUUAUGCUCAUGUUGAACGGAAAAUUUUUAUCUCGGAGUUGCAGGUAAAUGGUGGAAUGGAUUUGUCAAAAUUUAAGGUUCAACAAUCAAGAAUAUAGACAAAUGUAUUCACUCAGCAAGGCUCUAUCUGUAAUUAUUAUUAUGAUAAUAAUGUAACAUUCAUAAUUUUGUCAAACAGCUUUCGGAGGGUUUAAUAUUCAUUUAAGUUCGUAAAAAUCUAAAGUUCAUAAUUUUGUCAAACAGCUCUAUUUGUAAUACACUUGACUUGUUCUGGGAAAUUUCCCAGCCAAAGAACUUGCUUGUAAAAAUCUAAAGCAGCCUUAGCUAAAUAGUGAGCAAUAAAAUUACAGCUCCUAGAGACAUAUGUAAUUGAGGCCGAUGUCUGGACUUUCAUUUUUUCUUGAAUCUCUGCAAUUCUCCACGAAAUUUCAGCCUUGCUGCUCUUCUUACUUAAAUCUAGUUCCACCACUUCCUUUGAGUCUGAUUCAAGGAUCAAAGGGAAGCAAUCUGCUUGUUGAGCACUUUGAAAACCGAGCAGCAUAGCUUCAGCUUCCAUACAAGCUACAUUUUCUUGAUAUGGGAUUCCCUGGACUGCUGCAGCAACAACUUUGCCUCUGCAAUUUCUAAUAACUGCUCCCAGCCCUGCUUUUUGUUUUGAGACAUUGAUUGCCGCAUCAACAUUAACUUUGAACCACCCAUUUGGAGGAGUAGUCCAUUCCAACUUUCUGUUCUUGCUGUGCUCUGGAAUGGCUUGGGCAUUUGGGAUUUAAUUCGUCAGUACGACUCCACUAUAGCUCCUGCUCUGGCAAAAGAUUGCUUCGGAUCUUCAUCCUUCCCUUAAAAAAAAAAACGAUUUCUGGAAUACCAGAUAGCCCAGCACACAGCAACAAAAAACUCCAGAUCCUUCUUUCUUCUCUUCAAAGCUACAUCUUGAAUCACACUUAACAUGUCCUGACGAGCCAACUGUUUAACUUCCUCAUCAAGAUCUGUAAAUUUCCAAAUCCUCCUCGCUGCUUUGCACUCCACUAAAGCAUGGAAAACAUCCUCACCUCUGCACUUGCACCUUUGACAAAAGGGAUCCGACACUACUUUCCUCCUCCAUAGAUUAUGCAUUGUUGGUAACAAUUCUUUCCGUCCUUGACGACCAAGAUCAGUCGGUAAUUGGUGCCGGAAACCAUCUUAGUCUCACCCUUCUCCACGCUCUUGAACUUGAACUCGUUCUUUGACUGUUUUUUUUGUACUCAUCACUGCAAACAGCCCGAUCUCUGUCACGUGCGGCUUGCUGAGGUCUUCUUUCGACUUCCAUCCCCCAACUAAGACUCCUUUACGAUCGCCGGCGGCCAGGAGAGGGGUUGUUGCCAUGGCUUUUCACGACCACAAAAUACGUAAUCCCUGCACCUUAUCCAUUUUCUUCUAACACUUGUCAAGAAGGGUAAUUUUGUCCUUUUAAGAUUUAUAAACAAAAUAUAAAUAAAAUUAGUGCAGGUGUUCAAGUAAAUUUGACAACAUUUAAAUUAUAAAAGACAAAAGUUAGGGUACGACAGUUGCAACAUAGCCGAGUCCAUUUUUAAUAUUAAAAAGUAAAGCUGCUUUUAAAUAGAGAACUGAUAUUCCCUCCCCAGAUUCUUCAUCAUCUGACUAAAGCCAAAAAGAACUGAUACUAACAAAUCACCAUUUGGGAUUUCCACUUUUUCAUUAUCCAUUUUAGUACAACUUAAAUCAAGGGGGGAAAAGGAAUAAAACAAGCAGAUGAUUACACAUGCACACUGAUUUCCAUUUUGUCACCAUUUCUUGCCGAUGUUGCCGUAAUUCUUUUUUUUUUUUGGUUUAUCUCAAACUUUGUAAUUUUAUUAAUAUUGAGGGCAUAAAAAACAACGAGUUCAUGAUCCAUCUGAUUUUAGUAAAUCAAUCAGGUGAGCUUUGCUAUUAACUUUCCUUCACCGGCAACUAUAGAGAAGUGCUGGAGCAGGAUCUCCAGACUCCAGUCAGGCAUCAACAUCCAUCAAAAACUCACAAAACUUUCUCUCUUAAUCGCCUUUACAGACUCUUCGUUUCUCAUUUUUCUCGCUUUCUUCUUCUUCGAAAGCAGCGAGCCCUUCCAAUCCCUUCUUUUGUGGCUCUCCUUUUCCCUCUUCAUUCGCCCCUUCGCCAUCGCUCAACUCACCUGCGGUCACACUGCGUCGGUCACAGCCCAAUCAUUGAAACCCCUCAUAUCCAGAUCCAAAGAUUAAAAGGAAGCCUUAGAAGUCGCAAAAGAACCGAUCUUUAAACCCCCCACAGUUCGGUUCUGAUCGUUAAAAACUCAAAUGUGUCAAUUCGAAUUGAGUAAAAAGAGAAGAAAUUUGAAGUCUUGGAGGAAUGAAAUGGAGAGGAUAUUCAGAUUCUGAAAAGCAGUGAUGAAGAAACCGAUGGGGAAGAUCAGUUCUCUCUCUAAAAAUUUAUUAGGCAACUUUUUUUUUUAAUAUUAAAAAUUAUAAAAAUCUGCAUGUAGACCCUUAUGUUGGAAUCAAUAUUUGAAAUUAAAAUAUAAGUUGCCGUUGGAUUUGAUCCGACGGCUACAAAUUGUCUCCCGGAUCUUGGAUUGGAAAACUACUCAUGCUGUAAAAAUGAUUUAGCUCAUGUGAUUAAUAAAUAUAUACGAUCAUAAUUAAUUUCCAGCUUCUGGGGAAGUUAAAAAAUCCUUAUUUUUCCAUUUGUGUUUUAUGCAUGGUUUUUUACAAUUUUAUAUUUAAGUUUAAUAAAUUGAAUAGUACGUGCGUAUCAUUUCAUUUUGUUUAUGUUUAUGUCUCCAUCUUUAAUUUUAAGGACGCUAUAUAUAUUAACUCAUAUUUCCAACAGCCGUACUUUAAUAGGAACAAGAAGACAUGAUUUCUAUUAGAUCAUAUUCGACAGAUUUCUAAAAUUAUACCAAUAUAAAUUCAUUAUUAGUUAGAUGAGAAAUAAGAAAUUUAAUUACAACAAAUGAUUUACAACGAUGACCCAAGUAAACACUCAGUCAAGUCAAUGGAUAAAUUAACUCGCGUCACUGUUUCGUCACUAUUAUUUUUUCGGCUCAAUUAUGAUUACACUUGGAAUCUGUAAGCUGCAGCAUCAGCCGUUGGAUGUGGAGUGAGAAACUAAACAAUAGAAAAUGGGAUGGUGCGAGAUGUUUGACAGAUAAAGCCUCUGUAAUUAGUAUUUUUUUCGGCUCAAUUAUGAUUAUUACAGUUGGAAUCUCGGAGCCAGCAAAAAAUUAUCCGUUGAUGACAACCGAUUGCAACUUAUAGACAGAUACCAAAAAUAUAAUUAGUAUUCAAUGUCCUUUGUGAAGUUCUACACGUAAUUUAGCCGGUGGGGUUUUUCGAAAUUAUUGAUUAUUCUUUCCUUUGAAAUUAAUAUAAAAAAACAGCUCCAUAAUUUUUCUGUGUAAUUUAAAACUAUUGCAUGACGUUUUCUAUUCGGCCAUCCAUUAUUUAAUUGAUAACGGCCCAGCAUGCAUAUGGCUAGAAAUUCGCUUCUUCUAUUCUAAUUAAAUUUCAUGUAAACUUUUCUCAGUUCUCAGUGUUUGCCGAUAUAUUGAAGACCAUAAUAAUAAUAAUUAUUAUUAUUAUUAUGAUGAUGAUGAUGUAUUACAUCCCAAAUUGCCUUCGUUAUAAUAUUUGGCCCUAAAACUAAUAAAAAUAAAGAGUUGUACUAUUGCAUAAUUGUAAAUCUAUGACAAAUGAAAAUUAUUUAUUGGUAAUAGUUGCAUAACCCAAAUAAUAAUUAUUUUAAUGGUAUCAAAAUCUAGUUCAAAUGGCACUAAAGUACGGCGGUGAAAUUUUUUUAUUUUAAUUAUAAAAAUUUAAAUUAUUAAUUAAAUAUAAAUAAUAAUAAAAUAUAAAUGAAUCUUAGAUUAUUCCUAGUUUCCUACAAUUUUGGUGGGUCCCGACAUUAGGCGGAAGUGUACAUUGCCAUAAGAAGUCAAGAACGACUUUGGUGGGUCCCGACAUUAUUCCUACAUUUUAAGUCUUCGGCUCAUUUAUUUCCCAUUUUCUUUAUCUUUUUCAUAAACAUAUUUUCUAACCAUUGGUUUUUAUUUCUUAAAUACGACGGUUUGACUCCAGAAGCAUUGACUUUCAGUUCAAUGCCGUUAAAGAUGGAUCAUUAGUCACGGUAUUAGCAUCUAUAGAGUUUGUUAGAGAGAGAUCUAAACCAAUACACAAAUGGGUGUACUUUCAGGUCAGUGCCCUCCAAUAUGGAUUAUCAGUCAUGGUGUUUAAUUAUAUUUAUUUAAUUUGUUAGAGAGAGCUCUACGCCUAUAGAGUAUAACAAAUGGAUGUACUUUCGUUUUCGUUCGUCUGUUGUAAGUUACUGUUUUUUUUGUCUAAAUCCUCUUUCACUUCCGACACCAUUACUUCAUUUCAGUCCCUCAGCGAUGGCAGGACCUUAGUUUCGAAAGAAGGAAGCUUUGAGCUUGGUUUCUUCAGUCCUGGUAGUUCCAAGAAUCGUUACGUAGGGAUUUGGUACAAAAAUAUGCCAGUUAAAACUGUUGUUUGGGUUGCAAAUCGAAUCAACCACAUUAAUGACUCUUCUGGCUUGUUAGUUGUAAACAAGACGGGCAAUCUUGUUUUAACAAGCCAGAACAAGAGUGUAGUUUGGUCAGCAAACUUGAGCAAAGAAGUCCGGACUCCAGUUGUAUUGCAGCUACUAGAUUCAGGAAAUCUUGUCCUCAGAGGUGAACGAGAUGGCGGUUCUGAAACUUAUUUAUGGCAAAGCUUUGAUUAUCCUUCUGAUAAUUUGCUACCAGGAUGAAGCUCGGAUGGGAUUUCAAGGCUGGUCUUGAGCGGCGUAUAACAUCAUGGAAGAGCUCAGACGACCCGUCUCCCGGAAACUUUAUUUGGAAAACUGAACGACAAGAUAACCCUGAGUUAGUCAUGUGGAAGGGAUCAAGAAAGUUUUAUAGGACUGGCCCCUGGAAUGGCCUUAUAUUCAGUGCUUCAUCACUCAGGCUUAACCCAAUUUUUAAGUAUCGCUUUGUCUUCAAUGAGGAUGAGCUGUACUACACAUUCUACCUCACAGAUAAAGAUGUUAUCUCAAGGACUGUUAUGAACCAAACACUCUAUUUACGUCAACGAUUCAUAUGGAAUAAAGCAACUAAAAGUUGGGAGUUGAAUGCAAAUGUGCCAAGAGAUCUAUGUGACACUUACGCCCUUUGUGGCGCCUAUGGCAUUUGCAUCAUUAGCAAAUCGCCUGUUUGCCAAUGUUUAAAAGGUUUCAAACCUAAAUCAGAGGUUUAUGUGGAACGGUCUCAAGGGUGCGUACGUACUAAGCCGUUAAACUACUCUCGACGUGAUGGUUUUGUCAAAUUUAAUGAUCUGAAAUUGCCAGAUUCUACUUCCUCUUGGGUUAGCAAAAGUAUGAAUCUCAAUGAAUGCCGGGAGAAAUUCUUAGACAACUCUUCUUGGAUGGCAUACGCAAAUUCAGAUAUCAGAGGAGAAGGCAGUGGCUGUGCCAUGUGGUUUGGCGAUCUGAUUGACAUGCGAAGCGUUCCAGAUGCUGGGCAGGACUUCUAUAUUCGAAUGUCUGCUUCAGAGCUAGGUAUCCGUUUACUUGUUUAAGUUACUCCAUUAUGAGAACUUAGGAGUGCCACUCCAGUUAGAUUAGUUCCAUAUUUUUAUUGUGUAAUUUAGUAAUGAGUUCAGAUUGAGAUGCUCCUUUCACAAAAAGCAGUUUCUGGGUAUGGCUUCUGUGCAUAGAAUUCUGCUGCUAUUUGAAUCAUUUUUUCUUAGCUAUAUGAUUAUUGACUUGCUUUGCUAUAUCUGAAUAUGCUGAUCAAGGAGCGAAAGGUGAGCCUAGGACGAAGAUAGUGGUGAUAGUCAUUUCUACUGCUGCUCUGUUAGCUGUGGUGCUUAUAGCUGGCUACUUGGUUCACAAAAGGAGAAAUAUAGUGGGUAUAAUAUUGCUCCAUUUUCCUUCACAAAUUUUCGUUGACGAUUUGAUGCAGGAAAAUCAAACUCUUAUAAAUAUUAAAUUUACAACAGUCGAUUAAGUUUUUAUAUGCAACAAUAAUUGUAUGUUUGUUUCAAGAUGAAGAGUUAACAGUGCAUAUCAUUUAGAUCAGGGGCAAGGUAAUUAAACUUGUAAAUUUUUCACCUAUGGUUCUUUAUUUACUUGCACUUUCAUAUUGACUGGAAUAUAGCUUUAAUACAAAUUUACAGAAAAAGAACCUUCUCAUCAAGAACAUGAAAAUUGUAUACGUACUGCAUAUGUGCUUUCAGUUAAUAAUAUCCAAUAUUUCAGAGAAAACAGAAAACAACAGGGAAACUGAUCAGGUUCAAAACAUGGACCUGGAGCUACCACUGUUUGAGUUAGCUACAAUUGCUAAUGCCACCGAUAACUUUUCAAUCAACAACAAGCUUGGAGAAGGUGGCUUUGGACCUGUUUACAAGGUAAACUUGAAACUUGCCAGUCAAAAAUAAUUAUUUUACCGGGUAACUAAAUUCACAUAUAUGUCUGGGCAGGGCACGCUAGUGGAUGGGCAGGAAAUUGCUGUGAAGAGGCUUUCGAAGAUUUCAUAGCAAGGAUUGAAGGAGUUAAAGAAUGAAGUUAUACUAUUUUCCAAAUUACAGCACAUAAAUCUUGUAAAGCUUCUUGGCUGCUGCAUUCAGGGAGAGGAGAAACUGUUGAUUUAUGAAUUCGUGCCGAACAAAAGCCUGGACUCUUUCAUUUUUGGUCUGGGUCCCUAUAACCUUAAAAUAUUCGGCUAGCUUGUGCCUUGAUUAUAGACGUUUCUUAUGUAUUUUCAGAAAAUUUUGUACUAACCUUAAUGUGGUAAUUUGUAGAUCAAGAAAGAUGUAAGAUAUUGGAUUGGUCCAAGCGUUUCCACAUUAUUUGUGGGACUGCUAGGGGUGUUAUGUACCUUCAUCAAGAUUCUAGAUUGAGGAUUAUACAUCGAGAUCUCAAAGCAAGUAAUGUGCUACUCGAUCAAGAUAUGAACCCAAAAAUUUCGGAUUUUGGUUUGGCAAGAGCUUUUGGUGGAGACGAGACAGAAGGAAAUACAAACUGCGUAGUUGGAACAUAGUAAGUAUUUUUUUGUCAUGUGAUCUUUACGAUUCACUUACAUUGAUUAAUGAAAAUUAACUUAUAUAUUUAAUCUUUUGAAGCGGUUAUAUGGCACCGGAAUAUGCUAGUGAUUGGCAAUUCUCAGUAAAAUCCGAUGUCUUCAGCUUUGGAAUUUUAUUGCUGGAGAUAAUAAGUGGAAAGAAAAAUAGAGGAUUUUAUCAUUCCGACAACAAGCUUAACCUUAUAGGACAUGUAAGUAAAAUGCAUAUGACAUUUUCUAACAUAGUUUGAACUAAUAAACUAUAGAUGAUAAAAGAGUUUUAAUAUGUUGUAGGCAUGGAAGUUGUGGAACGAAGGCAUGCCUUCACAAUUAAUCGAUCCAUGUAUUCAAGACUCAUUCAAUCUUGCUGAAGUGAUACGAUGCAUCCACAUCGGUUUGUUAUGCGUGCAACAGCAUCCAAAGGACAGGCCAAGCAUGCCCUCAGUGAUUUUGAUGUUGGGCAGCGAGACUGUGUUGCCUCAGCCAAAGCAACCCGGUUACUUGGCGCACAGGAAAUCUACCGGACAAGAUUAUUCAUCAAGCACGCCUGAAUCAUGUUCAACUAAUACAAUUACGAUCUCUGAGUUGGAGGGUCGGUAGAGAAUCUAUUUGUGGUAUCAUGCCUUGUUCUACAUUGUCAAGUGCAAAAGCAGUAAUAUGUCAACCAAAUGGAAAGUUAAGAUAAAUGAUUGGAUAAAAAAUGAUGAGGAUCAUCCAGUGAAUGCAUGUUGUGGAUCUAAAAGUUCAGAGGACAUGCCAAUUUUGCAGCUGACUACUUGGCUAAAAAUGCAGGCUCUAUACCUCUCGGAUUUCAUGUUUAUCAAGAACCUCCUGUAGGUCAUGAUCCUUGGCUUUGUUAUGAUAUGUAUGGGACAAUGAUUCCCCGCUCGGUUGUGUCUUAGCUUGGCUAAGCCUUUUUUUGGUUAAAAAAAAAAAUAGAAUGUAGACUGAUGUUCAUAUAGAAAUUGUAAAUUAGAGGUACUGUGAGCAGUGUUGGGUUCAAAAAAUGAUUAACCGAGAAUUAAAUUAAAUAAAAGCAAGACGUUAUAAUUUUUUUGAUGUAAAAUAUUUACUAAUACAUUUAUGAGAAUAUCUUUGGUGCUUUUGGAGCAUUUUUAUCUAUUCACAAUUUAUCACUUGUGUAUAUAUGUCAUCAUGAUUAGUAGAAGCAUACACAUGACAAAGAGUAAAUGAAAAAGGAGAAGCUCUCCAAGAGUACCCAAGAUUUUUCCUACAUUUUAAAAACCAUGUGUAAUAUUCUCAUUAUCAAUACUAUUAAGUACGUCCUUUUCUACAUAAACAACAAAAUUAAUAUUGAUCCAUUCAUCUCUCAUUCAAUUUCAGCGUUAAUUCUUCAUGAACUUAAUUGCUGAAAACGUUCUCUCUACGGUGGUUGUGGGAACCGGAAGAAUUAUAACUAAGUGUCACCAACGAAUAUAUUAAUACUGUAAUGGAUACUCUUUAUCUUUUUUAGUCUCAAACUAUUCUUUUAGCAACGUAUUGAUUCCCUUCACUCCUGCAAACCCGUCUAAUUGUUCUUUCCUAAUUUAACACAAGCCCUUAUUUUCUUUUGAGAACAAGAAAGAUAAAAUUUGUGAUUGGAGGGGUGGCUAAUUAUUGUUUUUAAUAAAUUUGAAUCUAUUUUUUGAAAUAGAAGAAUGUUUUGGGUUGUGAGUUAUUAUUAUUUUUAAAUAAAGCGUGAGUUUAAAAGUUCAAGUUAAAAUUUAAAAUUUGUAGGUUUAUGAAUGUAUGGAUGCUAUUUUAAUAGAUUGAUGAAGGUUAAUUAGAAACCCAAAUAUUUUUUUCUUUUUUUUCUAUUUUUUGUCUUUCACAUGCUAAAUCCACCACUCAUACCGAUAAGAAUUGUGAUGAUUUAUUUUUAUCCUAAUGAUCAUAAUAAAAAUCUUUUAAAAAUUUUACUAUUUUAUCAAAAUUAUUAUUUAAAAAUUAUAUUUACCCCAACUUUUUUUAACUACAAUUAUUUUUUCACCAGGACUGUAACUUUUAAUAUAACUUAGGUUAUCAAAAUUUUGAGCUUCAUUCAACCAACCAUAACUAUCAUGAUCAAAGUCUACGUUGCUCAAGUCAAGAAAGACUUUAAUGGGAGAGAGAGAAUUAUUAUUAUCGACAUUACAAAUGGACCCCAAUUAUAUCUAAAGUCUUUGGGCUCCUGUCUCGUUUUCUUCUUCUUUUUCAAAACCCUAUUUACUAACCAUUAAUUUGGUUGGUUGAUGAAUCCGGCGGUUUCUGAUUUUCUUAUUUAUUUUUAUGCCAGUGACCCCGUAACGAUAGCAUUGCAAUCUCAUGAAAAAUGGACACCCGUCAACAAAAAUCUUUUUGUUAAGUAAUCUACUGAUUAUAAUAACCCAUGACCAAAAAUAUUGGACAUGUCUUCCUUUUUUUUAGUAAUUAUACACUCACAUCACACUUUUACGAUUAACUGACUAAACAUGUAUGAUAAACGAUUUUAUAAUAGAUUGUCUCACAAUCUAAAUUUACCAAAUAUCUUCAGAAAUUAUUUGUGAAGUUGAUUACUUCAAAAGUCAAGUUUGAAUAUUAAUUAAUUGUGAGAAUAUUCGAAUUAAAUCCAUAAAAUUCUUUUAAAAUUUUCUUUAAAGCUUAUAACAUACUUUUCAAAAAGUCUGUCGAGUACUAAUUCAGAAAUUUAUUUCAAUAUAUAUUAAGAAAAUUUAUUUGGUUAAGAGAAAUGAGCCCCUUUUGAGUUGGUGAAGCCUGAGCUCAUCAUUAGGCAAGCCAUCAAAUUAUUCAAUAAACACAUUUGUCCCACACAUCCAUAAUUAAUUAAAAGGAUGGAAUUAUUUGAACUUAUGCAAUUUCUCAUAACAUCCAUUUAUUUAAUAUAUCCCCUAUCAAGAUCUUAAAAUUAAAUUUUAACUCUAUAAACCGCUUAAUACCCCACAAAUAACCGAUUUAUGGUGGGUGCAAUAAUUUAGAUAAUUAAAUUAUUUAUUGUUUUUGGUAAUUUUUAUUUAAGAUUAUUUUUGUAAUAUAAAUUUUUAUUUAAAAAUAAGUCUAAGGUGCAUUUUUAUGGGGCCCAAAUGACAUUAAAAUUAGAAGAAUUAAAUUUUACCAUAUAAAAGUAAAACCUCUUGAAAUUCCUAAAGUAUCCUUGAUUAGAUUUCUUUUUAAUUUUAAUAUUUUCUCUCUGCCAUAGAAGUUGCUAUGUCCUUUCUUGGUAAGAUGCUCUGUUCAGGCUUCAAUGUUGUUAGCUUGAAUUGGCAAUUGAACUCGAAUCAAUUCUCAUGCAUGGGUUGGGGAAUUUGCUCAACUUAUAAUUGGUAGGUUUAUGCCUCUGACCAAACUCAUUUCGCCUCUCCAAGAAUCUGCAAAAUUAAUUGGUAUUAUCAUGUCGGUGCUGCUUAUAAUUAGUAGUGCCCGCAUUGCUCUGAAUUCAGGCAUUGCUUGAGUAGAGUUGGGCUUUGCUGAUUCAUUUUAGUGACACUUAAAAACACUUAAAAAAAUCAGGACUUGUUUGUCGAAAUUUACAAAUAUUUUGUUCUUUAAUUAAUUUUUAUUAUAUCAAACAAUAGGACUGCAGUGUAGUUAAACCAGUUGCUUACACCUGGGAAACAUAGUUUUGUGUUCUUAUUUUUUUUUAUUGUUUGUGAGAUGGCAAGUGAUAUAUAUGUCUUUUUAAAAUUUUCAAUUAUUGGGGCAACGAACAUGGUAAAUAAUUUGCGGUGGAAAAGGUACCAAUAUUGACUCAAUAUGUCAAAUUUCUAGAAAAUUUUAGCAUCAAAUGCCUUUUUUCCAUUGUUGUGAGUAUAAGUCAAAUUUCUUGCAAAUUUUCUAUGGGUGUGACGAUUUUUUUUUGGAGUGCAAACGGCCCACCCUUCACCUAUUCAUAGAGAAUUUUACAAUAUUAAAUAGAGAAUUUUGAGUCCAGAAGCAAUCGCUUUCAGGUCAGUGCCCUCCAAGAUGGAUUAUCAGUCAUGGUGUUUAAUUAUAUUUAUUUAAUUUGUUAGAGAGAGCUCUACGCCUAUAGAGUAUAACAAAUGGAUGUACUUUCGUUUUCGUUCAUCUGUUGUAAGCUACUGUUUUUCUUGUCUGAAUCCUCUUUUGCUUCCGACACCAUUACUUCAUCUCAGUCCCUCAGCGAUGGCAGGACCUUAGUUUCAAAAGAUGGAAGCUUUGAGCUUGGUUUCUUCAGUCCUGGUAGUUCCAAGAAUCGUUACGUGGGAAUUUGGUACAAAAAUAUGCCAGUUAAAACUGUUGUUUGGGUUGCAAACCGAAUCAACCCCAUUAAUGACUCUUCUGGGUUGUUAGUUGUAAACGAGACGGGCAAUCUUGUUUUAACCAGCCAGAACAAGAGUGUAGUUUGGUCAGCAAACUUGAGCAAAGAAGUCCGGACUCCAGUUAUAUUCCAGCUACUAGAUUCAGGAAAUCUUGUCCUCAGAGGGGAACGAGAUGGCGAUUCUGAAACUUAUUUAUGGCAAAGCUUUGAUUAUCCUUCUGAUACAUUGCUACCGGGAAUGAAGCUCGGAUGGGAUUUGAAGACUGGUCUUGAGCGGCGUAUAACAUCAUGGAAGAGCUCAGACGACCCGUCUCCUGGAGACUUUACUUGGGCACUUGAACGACAAGAUAACCCUGAGUCAAUCUUCUGGAAGGGAUCAAGAAAGUUAACUAGGAGUGGCCCAUGGAAUGGCCUUAGAUUCAGUGCUUCAUCAUUAAGGCAAAACCCCGUUUUUAACUUCAGCUUUGUCUC
rnacentral:lncRNA from 1 species